CCUCCUCCUCCUCCUUUUUUUGCAGCCGUGCUACUGCUGCUCUAUUACCACCUUCGCGUUCCUUGUCUCUUCUUCGUCGUCGUCCUCGCCUAGAAAUGUCGGUCGCGAGAAUGUAAACUUUUUCGUCACCUCGCGAGUGUGUUCGUGUGUCUGUGUGUUUUUUUAAUUUUAUCUGUGUAGUACGUCUGUCUCCCUCUCUUUCUCCUCCCCCCUUUGGAUUUUUUUCCCUUUUUCAUCUUUCAAAUGUUUGCGUAUGCCUACACCUCUGUAAACUCUUCCUUGACGUUGUUCUGCAUGCACUUACGUGACACACAUAUGUUUGUGUGUAUGUGUGUGUAUGUAUGUAUGUAUGUAUGUUUUAUAUUUUCGUCUAUCCAACCUCUUUCUCUCUUUCUAUCUUUUUCUGUGUAUUUAUAACAAGAGGUUGUGGAAGAGAAGAGAACGAGACGUUGCAGCCAAGUUUAAAACUACUUCCACGGAGACGGACACCUGGCCAAAAUGAAACGAGAACUCAAAUACUCGAAAACACCCACCGACCUCCCACGUAGAUCGGAACGAUAAUCCACGUCGCUUUUUUACAUCAGUGAAUAACGACAAGAGCCACUCGGAAUGCAGGUGACGUUGCUUAUGGCAUACAACACAAACGGCUGAAUGAAAUAUUGCGAGGAGGAUCUGUAGUUUCAUACCAAAAAGAAAAUAUACAAAAUUAAAGAGAAUAAUAUAGUCAACGAACGAUGAUAAUGAUGAUGACGAUGAUGAAGAAUCGAAAAUCGAAGAUUAAUAAUGAAGUUCGGAACGUGAACGUGAUGAACAACGAGGACAGAGACUGCGUGUACAUCUUGAUUCGAGUCUUUGACCUCGUACGAUUCAUCCUAAUGAAGACUCAACCCCUUCAACGACAACAUAUUAUUAUCACCGGCUAAUCACGAGCAUCGCAGCACUAUCAAUAUCUUCUUCUAUCAACAACUACUUCUUCUUCUUCUUUUUCUUUUAUUUCUUCGUAAUGAAUCUUC